AAUCCUAAUCUGGUCGAAGGAACAGAGAUAAUCGGACAUGCACUGUAGCAUGUGGGAGAUAGCGUGUACCUGCCGCUCAGUACAGCCUUUAGUAUGAUGGGAACCACUGCCUUGUUGCCAGAAGCUGGUAGGACUUCAAAAAUUUUUUCAGGUAGAUAGCGGAGAGAUGCUUAUAGUUUCCUGCCUCCGACAAAUUGUCAUCAGGACACAGAGCUGUAAUACAAUGAUCCUGACGUAUACAAGCCAGACCGCAGCCGUCAGGGUCAGGGGUCAGACUAGAAGUGGACUCUUGACCAGCACAGUCACAGAAAUGAAUUUAUAUGAUGUUUUGAUAGAUAUAUUUGUGUUUAUUUAGAGCGGGGCUACCUGUCUGUAGUUUGACAUUAUUGGUCCUUGUUACCAGACCAUCCAUAGAGAAAGGUGUGGGAAACAUAGAAUUAAAACCUUUAUCCCUCUUUGAACAUUGAUAAGGAGAGCAAUUGUGAAAACAUCCUGUCCCACCUACAAGUGUUGAUCUGUGGUGAGGAAAUCUCAAUCUUUCUAAGUCAACUGGGGUUGUAUAGUCGGUGACAUUGUGGUGUAGUACAAUGAAAGUGUCCUGGAAUGUUUGAGAAUAGCCUGUUGUUUGGUGAUGACCAUACAGUUUUAUUGUGUAUUCCUUGACUUUGUUCUAUUUAUCCUAGAAGGAUAAACACAGGUGCACAGGUUUCUGAUGAUAUCAGAGAGUUAGAAUGUGUUUUACAUAAUGUUGUCUUAAUCCUACCUGGUAACUUUUUAACACCUUGUGUUUGUUGUAUUCCCUUAAAAAACAACAUAUUUAAUUGUUAUUUUG